GAUGAAGAACGUAGCGAAAUGCGAUAAGUAAUGUGAAUUGCAGAAUUCAGUGAAUCAUCGAAUCUUUGAACGCACAUUGCGCCCGCCAGUAUUCUGGCGGGCAUGCCUGUUCGAGCGUCAUUUCAACCAUCAAGCCCCCGGCUUGUGUUGGGGACCUGCGGCUGCCGCAGGCCCUGAAAAGCAGUGGCGGGCUCGCUGUCACACCGAGCGUAGUAGCAUACAUCUCGCUCUGGGCGUGCCGCGGGUUCCGGCCGUUAAACCACCUUCAUAACCCAAGGUUGACCUCGGAUCAGGUAGGAAGACCCGCUGAACUUAAGCAUAUCAAUAAGCGGAGGA
rnacentral:misc_RNA from 1 species